rnacentral:tRNA from 1 species
GAAGGGUGAUUAGCUCAGCUGGGAGAGCAGCUGCCUUACAAGCAGCGGGUCGGCGGUCCGGCCUGUCACGCCGGGGGUCGCGGGUUCGAGUCCCGUCCGCUGCGCCA